rnacentral:lncRNA from 1 species
CAAAUGUUUAGCCAGCCAGGAUUAGUUUAGAUUGUAUGACCCGACCCCGGCCAAUGGGGAAGGACUUGCGUCAGAAAUAAAGGCUCUCGUGCCCCUUUGUUGAGGUGUGCUCUCAUGGUAACUGGCCAAGAAGGCACCCCUCUGCGAAGAAGUAGAACUGCUUUGCUAAGAAUCCUUUGUUCAAAUGUUCAGUUUCCUUAGGAUUUUGAGCGUUAUUACAAACACAACAGAGGUCUAAGGAGAAUUUAUCAGGACCCCUGAGUCUCCCCGCAUGACACUCAGCUAAGCAGGGGAAAGUGGUAUUUGGAGGACACAUAUGUGGUGAAUCAUAAGACCUGCAGCAUCUGACCUCCUGAGCUGCCUCUCCGGGCGCUUGGCCUCAAAUGCAAGAGACAGAUCAUAGAAGUGAUGUGCAUGAACCAAGAUACCCAAGGAGCAUCACACCUUUGGACAAGAGCAGUCCGGGAGAGGGAAAAACAAACCAGCCAGCAUUCUGCAGCUCAUUCAUUCAACACGCUUCCACUAAGUGCCUGCUGCCACUGCUGUGGCAGAUGAUGACAAAGAUGAUGAUGAUGAUGACCAAGUAUUAAGUAAAGAUGCCAUUUACAGAUGGACAUAAUCCCUGUCCUCACAGAAUACUUGAUUUAGUGGGGGACUAAAGCAAUAAUGACACAAAUAAAUACAUCCUUUACAAAUUGUGAGACUGCUGUGAAGGAGAAGGAAAGGUUGUGAAGAAACGUGUCUCAGACUCAGAUUUUAAUAAAGCGCCCCCGAUUAACAUUAGCAGAUGACCUUGGCUCUGCCCCCAGCGCCAGCCCUUACUCACUGUGUGUCCUUAGGUAGGACACUCCAACUCUUCAGACCUUGCUGUAAAACGUGGCCCAUCUGCUCUAUUCCCAAAUAAGUCAAUGCAUAAAAACAGACAUGUUUGCAAAACAUCCUCAGCAGUGUGAGGGGUGCUGUUGCUUUGGGAGGGCCCCCCACCUCCAGACAUAGCAGGUCUGCUGGCUCACAGGCAGCUUCCCCCUAGACAAGAGGCUUUGGGUCAGAAGAAAGCCAGGCAGAGCAUCUCCAUCCACCUCUCCUUCCUCUCCCUUUCUCUUCCCCUUUCUGUAUCCCUAGAAGUCACAAUCAGGAGUAAGUGGCUCAGAGGCCUAAAUAUCUUCUAGAAGCAUUUGAGCACUAAGGGCAAGGAGAAGCUGUAGGCAGUGCAGGGAAUCGGGGAACUGGAUGUGGGGGUCAAUGCAGGGUCUGUAUUUUCAGUAGGUUUUGAGAGCAAAGGCCUCACAGAAAUUGUCUUAAAGGAAGUUUGACAGGGAGGACCUUAAGUCCAGAAUUGAAACACACACACACACACACACGCAUGCAAGCAUGCACACAGACUAGAAAAGAAAAUGGAAUGGGGAUGAAGCAGUGGGGUGAUAGAGCCAAAGGAGAAAGGAACUAAAUGAAGGACACAGAAUAUGCAGAACAGAGAAAUACACUUUCUUUUGCUCCCUAAUUUAAAAUAUGUAUUACUCUUAAAGAUCAACAGUAGAAAGGAAAAAGAAAAAAAAAUGCAGGUAUCACCAUCCUGAAAUUAACUGCGAUUCUGCAAGAUAAAUUACGAUAUAGUGCUUGCUUGAAGAAAGGGUGAAUUAGUUUGGAUUCCUUGAUAUGAAAAAUAAAGGAUUUGCAGC